GUAGCUCCACGUAGUUGGUUGGUAAUUAGCAGAGCGUCUCUCAUUUGGAGGAUGAGAAAUUUGUGCCUUCAAUGACCAUUUGGGCUCUUUAUUAUUCAUUUUAGGACUUUUUAUUCCAGUUAGUAGCGAAGGAAUAUUUGCAAUUAAAUGCAUUUUGAUUUAUGAGGUAAUAAUAGCGAAGGAAUGUUUCUCUUUGCAAUUAAAUGCUAUUGAAACAGGUUAUUAC
rnacentral:lncRNA from 1 species